rnacentral:rRNA from 1 species
AGCAGCCGCGGUAAUUCCAGCUCCAAUAGCGUAUAUUAAAGUUGUUGCAGUUAAAAAGCUCGUAGUUGAACUUCAGGCCUGUCCAGACGGUCCGCCUUAAUUGGUGUGUACUGUCCUUGGGUGGGUCCUACCUUCUGGCGAAGCGGCAUGGCCUUAAUUGGUUGUGUCGGGGAACCAGGACUUUUACUGUGAAAAAAUUAGAGUGUUCAAAGCAGGCAAAUAUGCUCGAAUACAUUAGCAUGGAAUAAUGGAAUAGGACGAUGGUUCUAUUUUGUUGGUUCUAGGACCGUUGUAAUGAUUAAUAGGGAUAGUUGGGGGCAUUAGUAUUCAAUUGUCAGAGGUGAAAUUCUUGGAUUUAUUGAAGACUAACUACUGCGAAAGCAUUUGCCAAGGAUGUUUUCAUUAAUCAAGAACGAAAGUUAGGGGAUCGAAGACGAUCAGAUACCGUCGUAGUCUUAACCAUAAACUAUGCCGACUAGGAAUCGGGGCGAUUGUUGACAAAAGUGACUCGCUCGGCACC